GAUGAACGCUGGCGGCGUGCCUAAUACAUGCAAGUCGAACGCAUAGCGAAAGGUGCUUGCACCUUUCAAGUGAGUGGCGAACGGGUGAGUAACACGUGGACAACCUGCCUCAAGGCUGGGGAUAACAUUUGGAAACAGAUGCUAAUACCGAAUAAAACUUAGUGUCGCAUGACACAAAGUUAAAAGGCGCUUCGGCGUCACCUAGAGAUGGAUCCGCGGUGCAUUAGUUAGUUGGUGGGGUAAAGGCCUACCAAGACAAUGAUGCAUAGCCGAGUUGAGAGACUGAACGGCCACGUUGGGAAUGAGAAACGGCCCAAACACCUACGAGAGGCAGGUGUAGGCAAUGUUCCACAAUGGGCGAAACGUUGAUGGAGCAACGGCGCGUGUGGAAUAAAGGCUUCGGGAUCGUAAAGGACUGUUUUAUGGGAAAAACAGUAAGAAAAGGAAAUGUUUUUAUUUGGGCGGGACCACACGAGAAAGGGCGGGUUAAACACGU
rnacentral:rRNA from 1 species